rnacentral:lncRNA from 1 species
GGCGGGAAUUAGCUGGACAUUCGGGAAUCCUCCAACCAGGGAAUUAAGGAAAAGUUUCCCGGAAAAUGUUUCAACCCUAGUUAGUAGUCAGUCUGGCUAGCUCUGUAAAAACCCCAACUCUGGCUCUCCAGCUUCAGGGAAAACAGACCAAAGCCCCCCCUCGAAACGCUAAAGCUGAUUCAGAAGGGUUGGGGGUUAAAUGCGGAAGACUUAUUUCAGUUGAAUGCAUCAUUCAGUUGUACAACUGACUAGGUAUCCCUCCUUUCCCAUUAUUAUCUCCAUGACAACUGACUAGGUAUCCCUCCUUUCCCAUUAUUAUCUCCAUGACAACUGACUAGGUAUCCUCCUUUCCCAUUAUUAUCUCCAUGACAACUGACUUGGUAUCCUCCGUUCCCAUUAUUAUCUCCAUGACAACUGACCAGGUAUCCUCCUGUCCCUCCAUGUGAAAGUCUAACCUCACAGCCGAGGUUCCAUACUCUAUCUCCAUGACAACCAUAACAACUGACUAGGUAUCUCCAUGACAACCCUGCUACAACCAGGACGAUAUAUAUAUAUAUAUAUAUAUGUAUGCGGCACCGGCCAAAUUACAAAUCAUCCGUAACUACGGGUAACCACGGCGGUGUUGUUAACAGACGCAACUGUAACCAGAGGCAACCGACCCCGUCACGACUAACCUACAGCCGACGGCAUUUGGGGUUGCCACGGUAACAGCCGAUCAAGGUGAAUGAUCGCGCCGGAUGGAAGCUCCUCUGUCAGAUGUCUGAACGAGGACACACACACACACACACACAUGGUUCCCUCUUGGUCUGUACCGAGCCACGGCUGUAC